UUAAAUUGAAGAGUUUGAUCAUGGCUCAGAUUGAACGCUGGCGGCAGGCCUAACACAUGCAAGUCGAACGGUAACAGGAAGAAGCUUGCUUCUUUGCUGACGAGUGGCGGACGGGUGAGGACUGUCUGGGAAACUGCCUGAUGGAAGGAGAGAAAUACUGGAGACGGUGGGUGAUACCGCAUAAUGUCGCAAGACCAAAGAGG
rnacentral:rRNA from 1 species